CACAAGCAAAUAACUCUAGAAAAAAUGCCAAGUCUCCAUACAGAGAAAUGAAAUUGGGCCUAUAUAUCACCCUACCACUCAGACAUUGGUUCACUCCCUGGAGAUGUAGCAUAAAUGUAGUCUUAUUGCAUGAUUUCUGUUGGGUACUUUAAUGGUACUGGGAUUUAUUAGAUGUUGGGGUAGUUAAUGUCGGACCCAACAGAUUGCUUUGUGGUUGGAUUAUCAUCAACUGUCUCUGACUGGCUUCCAAAGUAUCCUAACCACUGUCUCCCUUUCUUUAGAGCUGUGUCAUGUCUCUAAGUAUUCUAAGCAGAGGGUUAACUCUGGCAAUGUUCUAUUUCAUUGUGGUAAUAAUGAAAUUUAAGCCCAGGUAUUCUGUUUGAUUUAAUUUAAUUUCUAUGACAUACAUACGGGUUUCAUGAGGUUACUGGAUAUAGCUAGUAUACAUAUGCAAAAUGGUAACACAAGAUUUUAAGAAUGAAGACUAAGCAAACACUAUUUUAAAAAAUGUAUUUCGAAUGGGACAAACUCUAUUAAAAAAAAAAAAAAGUAUUCAGAAUGGAUUUUGCAGCUCCAGAGAUACAGCAUGUACAGUUGAAGAACAGCUAUCCUUCUGUCAUACAGCCCCUGAAAGCACCACAAUGCUGUCCUCAUGUUUCUAUUCAGACAUGAGAAUACAGGAAUACUCUUCUGGAGGAACAUCUCCAUAGAUAAAGUAACAGUUCAUUGUGCUCAGGAAUAUGCAGCAUUGUCCAUGAAAAACUUAAUGGGCACAAUCAGCUUCUAUAGUGUUUUCCAAGACCUGUUCAUUUGGCUCUGAAAACUAGUUCAAAAGGAUGAAGCUCAGGAUAUUCUGCUUCGGAUUAAUUUCUUGCAUACAUAAGCAGCUGGAAUCUUAAAAAUAGUUUUCAUAAUCUUCAGUGGAUUUCUGGCUACACCAGCCAAAUUCUACAAACUAACAUUAAGUAUGUGUAGAAAAUAGGCUCAUUUCAUAUGGAAUAAAUGGAAUUUUAAGUCUUCACAAUUAUUACACUGAUAAAAAUUAUGAAAGUGGCAGACUUUUCCUCACUUGGAGUAGUUGUUCUCUUUUUGACCAGCUUUUCUCUGUUUUACUUAAAAAUUUCAGUUCUUCAAACUAGCCUUCUCUCUGUUCCCAAGCUACUCUUGCUCUAUCUUCUGUUUUUGUAACUUAGUUUGAAACAAUAGCUUCUUCUCUACUUAGUCAUAACAGAAUAUUGCUGAUGCAUCAUUAUGGAUGCAUAUCGUGUACCAUGUGAACCUUAAAGAAGGUGUAGUUGGUGCACAGUGGCAUGUCCUUCUGUGGGAAAGAACAGGUUCAGGGGAAGGUUUGUCAAGUUCCAGUUCUUGCUUACACCUAGAUACUUAAUGUAAUUGGACUUUUCGUUAUUGGCCAACACAGAACAUCCACCUGUUUUUAUGAACCAACAACAAAUAUGCCUUGUUUUUGUAUUGGUGUUUGUUUUCACAGCUCUUCUAGAUGCUUUUGUUAUCUCUGAUGUCUGGGCUUGUGCAUCUACUACUGCUUAGCAACUCGAUCAACUUGUCACUUGCAGCAGAGCUUGGUAAACCAUUCUCUACAGAUCUGGAAAAAAAAGGAAAAAAAAAGAACAAAUGUUGCAUACCUUCAAACACAGCUAAUUCUUCCAUUAAUGAAAUCAUCAAUGAAAAAAAGAUAAUAAUUGAAAGGACUCCCAGAGAGUCUUUUCAGGGUUUUCUGUCCUUUCAUGAAAGUUCCUUAUCCUCUUCAAAAAUCUCUGAAAAAUGGAAAAAAUGGGGGUUGUUUUUUCAUUGCCUUUUGUUUGUAUUUUUUUUUGUUGUUGUUGGUUUGGUUUCAUUUUUUGUUUGUUUGUUUUUAUUUUUGUUAUCUUUAAAUUUGUUUUUAGUUGUAGAAUGCAUGGAAUUUUAUUGCAUUCAGGCUGCUUUGGAUGAAGAGGAAAUAAAGAAUGGUUGUCAGUUAAUGAAGUAAA